rnacentral:lncRNA from 1 species
UGCCCCAGUUUGGGUCUCUGGGAACAUAUGUAAUGUAAAACAAAUCACAUUACCAAAUAUCAAUAAGAAAUUGAAAACUAAAACUUGAAUUGUACUCCCUUGUUAUCCAGGCGGGCUCCUGACUGCUGAACUUGAAUGUAUUCCCUGCUCUCCAGGCAGGCUCCUGACUGCUGGACUUGAAACGUAUUCCCUGCUCUCCAGGCGGGCUCCUGACUUCUAAUCUUGAAACGUAUUCCCUGCUCUCCAGGCGGGCUCCUGACUGCUGACUUGAAAUGUAUUCCCUG